UGCAGUCGGACGGCAGCACAGAGAAGCUUGCUUCUUGGGUGGCGAGUGGCGAACGGGUGAGUAAUAUAUCGGAACGUACCGAGUAAUGGGGGAUAACUAAUCGAAAGAUUAGCUAAUACCGCAUAUUCUCUGAGGAGGAAAGCAGGGGACCUUCGGGCCUUGCGUUAUUCGAGCGGCCGAUAUCUGAUUAGCUAGUUGGUGGGGUAAAGGCCUACCAAGGCGACGAUCAGUAGCGGGUCUGAGAGGAUGAUCCGCCACACUGGGACUGAGACACGGCCCAGACUCCUACGGGAGGCAGCAGUGGGGAAUUUUGGACAAUGGGCGCAAGCCUGAUCCAGCCAUGCCGCGUGUCUGAAGAAGGCCUUCGGGUUGUAAAGGACUUUUGUCAGGGAAGAAAAGGCUGUUGCUAAUAUCGACAGCUGAUGACGGUACCUGAAGAAUAAGCACCGGCUAACUACGUGCCAG
rnacentral:rRNA from 1 species